GACGAACGCUGGCGGCGCGCUUAACACAUGCAAGUCGAGCGAAGCGGCGGACGGGUUAGUAACACGUGAGUAACCUGCCUUAGACAUUGGGAUAGCCUCGGUAAACCGGGAUUAAUACCAAAUGGUCUAAGAUGGACUCGCGUGCCAUUAGAAAGUUGGUGAGGUAACGGCCCACCAAGGCGACGAUGGGUAGCCGGCCUGGGAGGGUGGACGGGCACAUUGGGACUGAGAAACGGUGCAAACUCCACGAGAGGCAGCAGUGGGGAAUAUUGCACAAUGGAGGAAACUAUGAUGCAUCGACGCCGCGUGAACGAAGAAGGCUUUCGAGUCGUAAAGUGCUUUUAUAUGGGAAGCGGUACCAUAAGAGAAAGCCCCGGCUAACUACGUGCCAGCAGCCGCGGUAAUUC
rnacentral:rRNA from 1 species